rnacentral:rRNA from 1 species
AGUGAACGCUGGCGGUAGGCCUAACACAUGCAAGUCGAACGGCAGCACAGGAGAGCUUGCUCUCUGGGUGGCGAGUGGCGGACGGGUGAGGAAUACUUCGGAAUCUACUCUGUCGUGGGGGAUAACGUAGGGGAACUUACGCUAAUACCGCAUACGACCUACGGGUGAAAGCAGGGGAUCUUCGGACCUUGCGCGAUUGAAUGAGCCGAUGUGGGAUUAGCUAGUUGGCGGGGUAAAGGCCCACCAAGGCGACGAUCCGUAGCUGGUCUGAGAGGACGAUCAGCCACACUGGAACUGAGACACGGUCCAGACUCCUACGGGAGGCAGCAGUGGGGAAUAUUGGACAAUGGGCGCAAGCCUGAUCCAGCCAUACCGCGUGGGUGAAGAAGGCCUUCGGGUUGUAAAGCCCUUUUGUUGGGAAAGAAAUCCAGCUGGCUAAUACCCGGUUGGGAUGACGGUACCCAAAGAAUAAGCACCGGCUAACUUCGUGCCAGCCGCCGCCGUAA